AAAAAACAAUUCUCUUUUCACGUCUCUUAACUAAUUUUAGUUAAAAUGUAGCACUCAAAUCCUAAAGACCUGGCUCAAGCUUGCCAGUAAGGUUGAGUAACACAUUGCCAACUUUAGCUUACAGUAGCAUCUAAGUAUCAAAUGCGUUUAACAAUUAAACCAUUUUAUUACUAAAACUAAAUUUACCUGUUCAAACAAUCCCUUGGGUAG
rnacentral:misc_RNA from 1 species